rnacentral:piRNA from 1 species
UGGACUUGGGCCUGUGAGAGAUGCGGU